rnacentral:rRNA from 1 species
UACGUAGGGUGCGAGCGUUGUCCGGAAUUAUUGGGCGUAAAGAGCUUGUAGGCGGUUUGUCGCGUCUGCUGUGAAAACCUCAGGCUCAACCUGGGGCUUGCAGUGGGUACGGGCAGACUAGAGUGCGGUAGGGGUGACUGGAAUUCCUGGUGUAGCGGUGGAAUGCGCAGAUAUCAGGAGGAACACCGAUGGCGAAGGCAGGUCACUGGGCCGCAACUGACGCUGAGGAGCGAAAGCAUGGGGAGCGAACAGG